GAGUUUGAUCCUGGCUCAGAAUGAACGCUGGCGGCGUGCUUAACACAUGCAAGUCGAACGAGAAAGUGGGCUUCGGUCCAUGAGUAGAGUGGCGCACGGGUGAGUAACACGUGGGUAAUCUACCCCUCAAUUUGGGAUAACAUUGCGAAAGUGAUGCUAAUACCGAAUAACAUCCAUAAAGCUUUGGUUUAAUGGAUCAAAGGUGGCCAAUCCUUGGAAGCUACUGUUGAGGGAUGAGCCCGCGUACCAUUAGCUAGUUGGUAGGGUAAUGGCCUWCCAAGGCGACGAUGGUUAGCUGGUCUGAGAGGAUGAUCAGCCACACUGGAACUGACACACGGUCCAGACUCCUACGGGAGGCAGCAGUGAGGAAUUUUGCGCAAUGGGGGCAACCCUGACGCAGCAACGCCGCGUGAGUGAUGAAGGCCUUUGGGUCGUAAAACUCUGUCAGAGGGGAAGAAAUGAAACGUGCUAAUAUCACGUUUUCUUGACGGUACCCUCGWAGGAAGCMCCGGCUAACUCCGUSCCAGCAGCCGCGGUWAUUUUUGCRCSCACU
rnacentral:rRNA from 1 species